rnacentral:misc_RNA from 1 species
GAUGAAGAACGCAGCAAAAUGCGAUAAGUAAUGUGAAUUGCAGAAUUCAGUGAAUCAUCGAAUCUUUGAACGCACAUUGCGCCCGCCAGUAUUCUGGCGGGCAUGCCUGUUCGAGCGUCAUUUCAACCCUCAAGCACAGCUUGGUGUUGGGACUCGCGUUAAUUCGCGUUCCCCAAAUUGAUUGGCGGUCACGUCGAGCUUCCAUAGCGUAGUAGUAAAACCCUCGUUACUGGUAAUCGUCGCGGCCACGCCGUUAAACCCCAACUUCUGAAUGUUGACCUCGGAUCAGGUAGGAAUACCCGCUGAACUUAAGAAUAUCAAUAAGCGGAGGA